rnacentral:rRNA from 1 species
AUUGAACGCUGGCGGCAGGCCUAACACAUGCAAGUCGAGCGGAGCGGCGGACGGGUGAGUAACGUCUGGGAAACUGCCUGAUGGAGGGGGAUAACGAUUGGAAACGGGCGCUAAUACCGCAUACUACCAGAUGAGCCUAGGUCGGAUUAGCUGUUUGGUGGGGUAAAGGCCUACCAAGGCGACGAUCCGUAACUGGUCUGAGAGGAUGAUCAGUCACACUGGAACUGAGACACGGUCCAGACUCCUACGGGAGGCAGCAGUGGGGAAUAUUGGACAAUGGGCGAAAUCCUGAUCCAGCCAUGCCGCGUGUGUGAAGAAGGUCUUCGGAUUGUAAAGCACUUUAAGUUGGGAGGCGUUACCCGCAGAAGAAGCACCGGCUAACUCCGUGCCAGCAGCCGCGGUAAUUC